CGAUGGUGAAUUGCUCUGCCUCGUUUGCUCGGUAGAAUGUUGCUGUUGUUAUCAUUCGUUCUCCUCCUGUUUUUUGACUGGAUUAUUUGCUCAGUCUAUGUUUUUUAUUUUUUAGCCUGAAGAAUUUAGCUUUUCUGGGAUCUUUAAGCAGAAAAAAAGACUAUGGGCGAACCGACAGGGUUCAGGGGCCACCAAUCCCCCUUGUUCCCCAAGAUACAAUACACCACCUGGGGUGACCUUGCCUCCUGGGGGACGGUCACAAGAAGUGUUGGCGCCUGUAUGAAAAUUGAAGAGCUUGACUUCGAUUGACUAUUAGUCCUCAAGAUGCAGUGUGUUCACUAGUUGACAAAACGCCAGGCUCUUCAAGCAAACUGACAAUAUAAACAAAGGAUCGUAAGGAGAUAAUCGUGAUAGAUCGUUCUAUCCUUGGGUCGUAGUAUUGCAUGACAACAGCCAUGUACACUAAGGAGACCCCCACCCACGACAACAUGCCAUAUUUUUUUUAUUUUUGGGGCUCGUUUGACUGGGUAUUGCUGAAGAUAGGCCACCCAUCUAGUAUUAUCUGGUGCUCUGCCUUGAAUGACAGGAAAGAGUUUGUAGGCAUGUGGUCCCUCGGGUCAAUAAAUUUUCCUAUAACAAUCUGAUUGUCCUGCUUGUUCUUAACCGGGGGGAGUAUCCUGUCCCAACCAGAAACGCAUUGAAGCAUAAACAACCUACUGAGGGUGAAACGCCUAAAUCUCCUUAACAA